rnacentral:rRNA from 1 species
UGGCGGCAUGCCCAACACAUGCAAGUCGAACGGUAACGCGGAGAGCUUGCUCUCUGGCGACGAGUGGCGGACGGGUGAGUAACGCGUGGGAAUCUGCCCAGUAGUGGGGGACAACCCGAGGAAACUCGGGCUAAUACCGCAUACGCUCUACUGAGGAAAGCGGGGGAUCUUCGGACCUCGCGCUAUUGGAUGAGCCCGCGUCGGAUUAGCUUGUUGGUGGGGUAACGGCUCACCAAGGCGACGAUCCGUAACUGGUCUGAGAGGACGAUCAGUCACACCGGAACUGAGACACGGUCCGGACUCCUACGGGAGGCAGCAGUGGGGAAUAUUGGACAAUGGGGGCAACCCUGAUCCAGCAAUGCCGCGUGUGUGAAGAAGGCCUGCGGGUUGUAAAGCACUUUCAGCAGAGAAGAAAAGCCUGGGGCUAAUAUCCCCGGGUCUUGACGUAACCUGCAGAAGAAGCACCGGCUAACUCCGUGCCAGCAGCCGCGGUAAU